GCCAGCAUGGUGUAGUGCUUUGAGUGCUGGACUAAUAUUCUGGAGAUCAGGGAUCGAUUCCCUGUUCAAGCA